GAUGAACGCUGGCGGCGUGCCUAACACAUGCAAGUCGAGCGAACAGACGAGGAGCUUGCUCCCCUUACGUUAUCGGCUGACGGGCGAGUAACAAGCGCGUAACCUACCUACAAGACUGGGAUAACCACGGGAAACCGGAGCCAAUACCUGACAAUAAAUUGCACCGCACGGCUUAAUAGUUAAAGACGGAUUUGCCGUCACCUAUAGAUGGAUCCGCGCCGCAUUAGCUAGUGGGUAAGGAAACGGCUUACCAAGGCAACGCUCCCUAGCCGACCUGGCAGGGUGAUCGGCCACACUGGAACUGGAACACGGCCCAGACUCCUACGGAAGGCAGCAGUGGGGAAUCUUCCGCAAUGGGCGAAGGCCGAACGGAGCAACGCGGCGUGAGUAAGGAAGGUCUCCGGUUCGUAAACCCCUGUUAUUAGGAAAGAACAGAUGUGUGAGUAACUAUGCACGUCUUGACGGUACCUAAUCAGAAAGCCACGGCUAACUACGUG
rnacentral:rRNA from 1 species